GACGAACGCUGGCGGCGUGCUUAACACAUGCAAGUCGAACGGAAAGGCCCUGCUUUUGUGGGGUGCUCGAGUGGCGAACGGGUGAGUAACACGUGAGUAACCUGCCCUUGACUUUGGGAUAACUUCAGGAAACUGGGGCUAAUACCGGAUAGGAGCUCCUGCUGCAUGGUGGGGGUUGGAAAGUUUCGGCGGUUGGGGAUGGACUCGCGGCUUAUCAGCUUGUUGGUGGGGUAGUGGCUUACCAAGGCUUUGACGGGUAGCCGGCCUGAGAGGGUGACCGGCCACAUUGGGACUGAGAUACGGCCCAGACUCCUACGGGAGGCAGCAGUGGGGAAUAUUGCACAAUGGGCGGAAGCCUGAUGCAGCAACGCCGCGUGCGGGAUGACGGCCUUCGGGUUGUAAACCGCUUUCGCCUGUGACGAAGCGUGAGUGACGGUAAUGGGUAAAGAAGCACCGGCUAACUACGUGCCAGCAGCCGCGGUGAUACGUAGGGUGCGAGCGUUGUCCGGAUUUAUUGGGCGUAAAGGGCUCGUAGGUGGUUGAUCGCGUCGGAAGUGUAAUCUUGGGGCUUAACCCUGAGCGUGCUUUCGAUACGGGUUGACUUGAGGAAGGUAGGGGAGAAUGGAAUUCCUGGUGGAGCGGUGGAAUGCGCAGAUAUCAGGAGGAACACCAGUGGCGAAGGCGGUUCUCUGGGCCUUUCCUGACGCUGAGGAGCGAAAGCGUGGGGAGCGAACAGGCUUAGAUACCCUGGUAGUCCACGCUGUAAACGGUGGGUACUAGGUGUGGGGUCCAUUCCACGGGUUCCGUGCCGUAGCUAACGCUUUAAGUACCCCGCCUGGGGAGUACGGCCGCAAGGCUAAAACUCAAAGGAAUUGACGGGGCCCCGCACAAGCGGCGGAGCAUGCGGAUUAAUUCGAUGCAACGCGUAGAACCUUACCUGGGUUUGACAUGGAUCGGGAGCGCUCAGAGAUGGGUGUGCCUCUUUUGGGGUCGGUUCACAGGUGGUGCAUGGCUGUCGUCAGCUCGUGUCGUGAGAUGUUGGGUUAAGUCCCGCAACGAGCGCAACCCUUGUUCACUGUUGCCAGCACGUUAUGGUGGGGACUCAGUGGAGACCGCCGGGGUCAACUCGGAGGAAGGUGGGGAUGACGUCAAGUCAUCAUGCCCCUUAUGUCCAGGGCUUCACGCAUGCUACAAUGGCUGGUACAGAGAGUGGCGAGCCUGUGAGGGUGAGCGAAUCUCGGAAAGCCGGUCUCAGUUCGGAUUGGGGUCUGCAACUCGACCACAUGAAGUCGGAGUCGCUAGUAAUCGCAGAUCAGCAACGCUGCGGUGAAUACGUUCCCGGG
rnacentral:rRNA from 1 species